GUGCUGUGAUGUUUUUGCCAACACAUCAUUCUGAUGUAUGUGAAGACAAACUUAUCAGUUACUGAGCACA